AUUGAACGCUGGCGGCAUGCUUUACACAUGCAAGUCGAACGGCAGCACGGGGGCAACCCUGGUGGCGAGUGGCGAACGGGUGAGUAACACAUCGGAACGUGCCCAGUUGUGGGGGAUAACCUAUCGAAAGGUAGGCUAAUACCGCAUGAGCUCGGCAAGAGGAAAGCGGGGGACUCAGCGAUGGGCCUCGCGCGACUGGAGCGGCCGAUGUCCGAUUAGCUAGNGGUGGGGUAAAGGCUUACCAAGGCGACGAUCGGUAGCUGGUCUGAGAGGAUGAUCAGCCACACUGGGACUGAGACACGGCCCAGACUCCUACGGGAGGCAGCAGU
rnacentral:rRNA from 1 species